ensembl:lncRNA
AUUUCCUCUGCGCGAGGAGCGGCUUGCCUGUCAGCUCCCGCCAGCUGCAACGGCCCAGCAGACCCAGCAUGUAGUCGGGAUUCAAACCCACACCCAGCAGCUCCCGGCCUGGCUGACUGCGCCACACACUAACACACACACACGGGGAGUCGUUGCCAUGACACCGAGUGCUCUUCUUCUCUGGAUGCUCCUCCAGUCCGUGGGAGCAGCCGCCGCAGCGCCCUCCCAGUGCCACCAGGGGGCGACCAUCCCGGAGGCGGUGCUGGCCCCGGCCCUGAGCAGCGGCAGCAGCGUCCUGCGGGUUCUGGGCGUGGCCUCUCUGGCCCGCUGCCGGGUCUCCUGCUGCGAGCGGCCCCGCUGCGACCUGGCCUGGCUCUUCCAGGGCCGCUGCUAUAUCCUCAGCUGCCAGCAGGGGGGGGCGUGCCGGCCCCAGAACCGCCCCGGGGCCGACUCCUACCUGGCCUUCGUGCUGCGGGGGCCGCCCAGACCCUGGUCCUGGGGCCCCUGGUGCGGGGGGAGCCGUACGGGAGCCGCUGGGGGUCCCCAUCGUCGUCGUCGUCUGAGGCGCCCGGGGACCUGGAGGCCCUCAGGGACCUGGCGGUGUUGGAGGGGGAGGAGGGGCCCCCGACCAGGG